rnacentral:rRNA from 1 species
AUUGAACGCUGGCGGCAGGCCUAACACACGCAAGUCGAGCGGAGCGGCGGACGGGUGAGUAAUGCCUAGGAAUCUGCCUGGUAGUGGGGGAUAACGUCCGGAAACGGGCGCUAAUACCGCAUACUAUCAGAUGAGACUAGGUCGGCUUAGCUAGUUGGUGGGGUAAAGGCCUCCAAAGGCGACGAUCCGUAACUGGUCGGAGAGGAUGCUCAGUCACACGGGAACUGAGACACGUACCAGACUCCGACGGGAGGCAGCAGUGGGGAAUAUUUGACAAUGGGCGAAAGCCUGAUCCAGCCAUGCCGCGUGUGUGAAGAAGUUCUUCGGAUUGUAAAGCACUUUAAGUUGGGAGGCGUUACCAACAGAAUAAGCACCGGCUAACGUCGUGCCAGCAGCCGCGGUAAUAC